GGUCACCAAAAUCAUUCCAAUUCAUCCUCUGGGAGCUUUAAUUUUCACAGGAACCUGCUCUGUAGCUGCUGAGCUGUCGAGACGAACCAGCUUCACUGUACUUAGGCCCCGCCUCCCCAACACUGCAGGUAAUAUAACAGUGAAGGGGUCAAAGGUCAGUGUUCAGAGUGCUGACCCGGCAGUUCAAUAAGUAAAAUACACGCUGAUGUGUUCAGCUCAGACGUAGUUCACGUCAAUAAUCUCACCUAAAGUCCCCUGGCCCCUCCAGUAGGACCUGUGAAACCCUAUCAGGUGGACAGGUGAGUGGUCAAAGAGACAAUAACAGACUCCCAGGUGUCCAUGGAGACACGAUAAUAGAUCCAGGAGAGGAAACACCAGGACGCAAAUAUCACCUGUAAUGAGUGAGUGAUGAUCUGUGUGAAGACCUGAUCCUGGUGUGACUCGAGCACCUCGUCCCGUCUGUCAACGUACGAGGACACGUGUAAAACCACGCACACACACGCAGCUAAAUAUGGCCAGCUGCUACAGAAACAGCACGGUUGCCAUGACAACCCCGUCUCCAACCCCUGAUCUGUUCUGCUGCAUCAGUCUGGGUUUCGGGUGGGGUGUUUCCACGGCAACAGCCCAUUUGAACAGUGAUGACCUCCAUGUGUCCUCUGCUGCUGCCACCUGCUGGUCGCAGCGCUUCAUAUGCUCUGAAGGAAUGACUCCUUCCGGUCCGCACUACAGUUCCCAUGAUGCUUUGGGGGAUGUAAACAGGAAGUACACUGUUGCCAUGGAUUGAGCGAGGUGGCUGUGAGCUCCAACUUCAGGCCCGUUUUUUUUAUCCUGUAUUUGUGUACAUUUUGUCAAAUCAGCAGUAAAACUACAAUUACCAACUUCCUGUUGUUUUACGUCACCUGCACGCACCUGUCCCUUUCACCUCACACAGGCUCGUGUGAUGGGACUGCGCAGAAUCCAUCACCGGCGAUUGCCCGCAAUGCAUGGCGGUUAGAUUUGUGUCCGACUUGCUCUGACGUCACGCACACGUGGGCAGCGAUAAGCUCGGCACCCCAGGGCAUGAUGGGAAACGCUGAGCAAAGAGCUGAUUGGCUCUUAGCUUUGACCACAAACACCACGUUUAACAGGAUGCCGAUAUUUACCGCCCUUUAACUCUGGCUCCGCCUCCUGGCGAGGAGCGACACGUCUCUCUGACGCUUCAACUGUCUGCACCGACCGAACAAAGAGUGUCCAGGUGAGAGACCUGCAGACGGGGUGGCUGACCUGAAGCUGUGAGGUCAGAGGUCACGGCAGCGUCAGAGGUCGUAGGGGUCACAGAGGCGUGGCCCGUCACUAUCCUGAGAGCCGACUCCAGCAGCUGGCUCUGAUUGGAGGAGAGGAGAGCCAAUGAGCAGUCGGUCGGCAGAGUUAGGCGUCAGCAGCAGCUGAACAGUUUCCCUGCAGCUCAGUGAACAGACCUCAGGUCAGAUCUACCUUGAUGAGAGCAGCAGCAGCUGUAGCUGCGUUGGUGGCGUCUCCCGGGCAACCAGAGGACAGCCCCG